ACCAUGGGAGCCUCCACUCCGAGUCAUCUCCUGAGUCGUGCAGAUUGUGUCCGUGCUCCAGCUCUGGGAGCUCAGGGGGCCGAGGUGGGCCUGUGCUGCUUUUAAGGUCUCCUUUGCCACGUAGCUGUGGCUUAGCUUUCAGCAGAACAGGAUGCAGAAUGCGUGUUUCUACACGUUACUGGGGUAGGUUCCAACACCAUAAAGAAAGAGAAUGCAGUCGUACAUCUCCCUCUGCUCCGAGCAAUGCAAGGAGGUGCACAGGAUAUGCGGUUGAGAACUAGAGUUUGGGGGCAAACCUGCUGACAGUCGUAGAUGACGUUUCUGGCCAGGUCUGGCUGAGCCAGGCUGCUCUGCUGGGCUCAGAGCAAACUACCACCAGCAACACUGUACUGACCAGGAGUUAACCACCUAGGAAAGGGCCCAUGGAUAAAGACAAUCAACAACUCUGAUCAAGGAAGAACAACAACUGUAGCCUUUUAGUUACAAGUUUUUUCUACCACUAUCACAGACUUAAAAGAGAGAGCAAGUAUGACUGGGGGGAGCAGCAGGACCCUGGGAUCAUGACUAAGCAGAGGAUUAACCAGCUGAGCCACCAGGUCAAAACAGAGAAACUCUUGAAUCUCUCCCUGAAGUCUUGUCAAGAAUUUGAAGAAGCCCAUACUCUCAUCAUGAAGUCACUCCCAGGGACGCCCAGGUGGCCCAGUGGUUGAGCAUCUGCCUUUGGUCCGGGGUAUGAUCCUGGAGACCUGGGAUCCAGUCCCGUGUCAGGCUCCUG